AUUGAACGCUGGCGGCAUGCCUUACACAUGCAAGUCGAACGGCAGCACGGGGGCAACCCUGGUGGCGAGUGGCGAACGGGUGAGUAAUGCAUCGGAACGUGCCCAGUAGUGGGGGAUAACUAGUCGAAAGAUUAGCUAAUACCGCAUACGACCUAUGGGUGAAAGCGGGGGAUUCGCAAGAACCUCGCGCUAUCGGAGCGGCCGAUGUCUGAUUAGCUGGUUGGCGGGGAAAAGCCCACCAAGGCUUCGAUCAGUAGCUGGUCUGAGAGGACGACCAGCCACACUGGGACUGAGACACGGCCCAGACUCCUACGGGAGGCAGCAGUGGGGAAUUUUGGACAAUGGGCGCAAGCCUGAUCCAGCCAUGCCGCGUG
rnacentral:rRNA from 1 species